CCUGCUGUCUGUGGAUCCAAAUGUAGAACUCUCCUCUCCCUCCCCAGCACCAUGUCUACCUGUGUGCCACCAUUCUCCCUACUACAAUAACAAUGGACUAGACUUCUGAACUAUUCUGAAUUAUUCAUUCUUAUUGUAGCAGCAAAAAAGAAACCAAAUGGAAAUAAAAGCAUUCAAGAGAAAGUGGACUUUGAAUUGCAACUGUUAAACAGAAGCAAAUCAGCACAUUUCUCAAAAGUCAGCCAAGAAAAUUGUCCUUGCAGUGCAUGAGAACACAGAGAUCUUCAACUGGCCGGUCUGAAAAGAACAAGAGGCAUUGGAAUGCUUAGUGCUUAAAUGAAUUGAUUCCUUAAACUUUGGGGCAAGAGUGUAAAACAGAUGAGCUAUUGAUGCUGGAGUGCUCCACAGUCCUGUAUGUAUCCUCUUCAUUUUGACCAGCUGUAAGUUCUACAUUAACCACCAUCCACUGCACAAACACAUUUCUCUGAUGA